GGGGGAGUGUCGGAAUUGGCAGACGAGCAUGAUUUAGGAUCAUGUGCCGCAAGGCGUGAGAGUUCGAGUCUCUCCUUCCCCA
rnacentral:tRNA from 1 species